GACGAACGCUGGCGGCGUGCCUAAUACAUGCAAGUUGAGCGCUGAAGGUUGGUACUUGUACCGACUGGAUGAGCAGCGAACGGGUGAGUAACGCGUGGGGAAUCUGCCUUUUAGCGGGGGACAACAUUUGGAAACGAAUGCUAAUACCGCAUAAAAACUUUAAACACAAGUUUUAAGUUUGAAAGAUGCAAUUGCAUCACUCAAAGAUGAUCCCGCGUUGUAUUAGCUAGUUGGUGGGGUAAAGGCUCACCAAGGCGAUGAUACGUAGCCGACCUGAGAGGGCGACCGGCCACAUUGGGACUGAGAAACGGCCCAAACUCCUACGGGAGGCAGCAGUGGGGAAUUUUGGGCAAUGGGCGAAAGCCUGACCCAGCAAGGCCGCGUGGGUGAAGAAGGUUUUCGGGUUGUAAAACUCUUUUGGGCGGAAAGAAAGUGUGGGGGAGGGGAAAGUCGCGCAAUGACGGUAACCGACGAAGAAGGGCGGGGUAAAUACGGG
rnacentral:rRNA from 1 species